rnacentral:rRNA from 1 species
CCUACGGGGGGCAGCAGUGGGGAAUAUUGGACAAUGGGCGAAAGCCUGAUCCAGCCAUGCCGCGUGUGUGAAGAAGGCCUUCGGGUUGUAAAGCACUUUCAGUGGGGAAGAAAGCCUUGGGGCUAAUACCCUCGAGGAAGGACAUCACCCACAGAAGAAGCACCGGCUACCUCCGUGCCAGCAGCCGCGGUAAUACGGAGGGUGCGAGCGUUAAUCGGAAUUACUGGGCGUAAAGCGAGCGUAGGCGGUCUGAUAAGCCGGUUGUGAAAGCCCCGGGCUCAACCUGGGAACGGCAUCCGGAACUGUCAGGCUAGAGUGCAGGAGAGGAAGGUAGAAUUCCCGGUGUAGCAGUGAAAUGCGUAGAGAUCGGGAGGAAUACCAGUGGCGAAGGCGGCCUUCUGGACUGACACUGACGCUGAGGUGCGAAAGCGUGGGUAGCAAACAGGAUUAGAUACCCGUGUAGUC